UAUAAUAAAUAAAUUUUCAUUCGCCCAAAUUCGGUGGACAGGGAUGUAGCCACUGCGAAGAAAACCGUCAGUCGUCAGAGUACAACGCCAUGACGACGGCGCACCGGUUCCUGACUUUUAAAUAGACUAUUUAGCCUUGCCUAAUACGUUAUACAAUUUAAAUACAACGAGCGGUAAUAACCAAUCAAUAUUGGAAUGUUGUUAUAUAAAUGCGUGCAUCAACAUGAACGGCUCAGUAAAUGAAUUUGAUGAAUAUAAGAUGAAAUAUUACAGCUUUAACAAGUAAUAAUUCAUCUCAAAACAAUAAAACUGUCUUCCUAGAGGAUUUCCAGAAUUUCAUUACCAUUAACAGUCGAUGAAUUUGCUUCUAGAAUGGAAUUUAGAAUCAGCAAUCACCAAUCAGUAUACACAUCUUACAUGGAUAUAUUUCUAUACCAAUUUACACUGAACAAGGAACCUCUAAUAUUGAACAAUAAACCGUUAUUCCAAACAUUGUGGUCAAACGAUGUCAUAUCAAAAAACACAGUAUUUCAAUAAUCCUAAUGAGGUUACUUUACAAAGAAUGUUAUAACCAAAAGUUGUCAAAAUAUGUUGGUGGAAUAUUGUUUGUGAUAUAAUCAAAAAUGGCUUUGCGAUAACAGUGUUAUAGUAUUCUAUAGCCAGUGCAAUUUGUUAGAACUUUUCAUUCUAAAAUCAAGGAUUUACAUUUUGGUAAUGAUGCCUUGAAUUCCCCAAAAGGAAAAUUGUCUUCAAAAUAUUUUAACAUCAUUUGAACAAUGACACAAUGUGAAUAGAAAUUAUGGAUUUAUUUGGUAAUAUACAAUAAUUAAUAAUGUAUUGUACAUAAUAAUGAGUAAUUUAUUAGUAAAUAUUAGGUGUGGAAUUUCUCGGAGAAAAAAGUGAAGUAGAAUGAUAUGAUUGGUUAGUAAAUAAAAUAUAAUAGAAGCAGUGUUAUAGCGAGAAACUUGUGUGCCCUAAUCGACAGAGACUCUCCAAAACAUAGAAAUCAAAUAAAAAUAAAAAUAUUAUUAAAUGGUGAUUUUAGGAGCUAAUAAUAAUUUUUAAAGAUUGUAAGCAGACCACAACAUAUGAGGUACAAAUAACAAUAUUUUCAUCAAUAUAUUACAGAACUGUAAAGCCUACAUUAUAGUUGCUGCCAUAGAAAUAAUAUUCAUAGAAUAGCUCUGCUACGAUAACUUAUACAAUUAUACAAUUCUAAGAGUCGUGUGUAUUAUAUACUACUA